rnacentral:rRNA from 1 species
AUUGAACGCUGACGGCAGGCUUAACACAUGCAAGUCGAGCGAGCGGCGAACGGGUUAGUAAUGUCUGGGAAACUGCCUGAUGGAGGGGGAUAACUACUGGAAACGGUCGCUAAUACCGCAUACCAUCAGAUGAGCCCAGAUGGGAUUAGCUAGUAGGUGGGGUACGGGCUCACCUAGGCGACGACCCCUAGCUGGUCGGAGAGGAUGACCAGCCACACUGGAACUGAGACACGGUCCAGACUCCUACGGGAGGCAUAAGUGGGGAAUAUUGCACAAUGGGCGCAAGCCUGAUGCAGCCAUGCCGCGUGUGUGAAGAAGGCCUUCGGGUUUUAAAGCACUUUCAGCGAGUAGGCGUUACUCGCAGAGGAAGCACCGGCUAACUCCGUGCCAGCAGCCGCGGUAAUUC